rnacentral:rRNA from 1 species
UACGGAGGGUGCGAGCGUUAAUCGGAAUUACUGGGCGUAAAGCGCUCGUAGGCGGCUUGUUAAGUCGGAUGUGAAAGCCCCGGGCUCAACCUGGGAACUGCAUUCGAUACUGGCAGGCUUGAGUAUAGUAGAGGCAAGUGGAAUUCCAGGUGUAGCGGUGAAAUGCGUAGAUAUCUGGAGGAACAUCAGUGGCGAAGGCGACUUGCUGGACUAAUACUGACGCUGAGGAGCGAAAGCGUGGGGAGCAAACGGG